GGCCGAUGAUGAAGGUAGGGGAAAUUUUGACUGCCAACUGAGAGGAGGACAUGUUGGACAGAAAUUAAGCCUUGCAACAGGCCACCUACUAACCCCUCAAAGACUUGUGGCAAGGGUUCUUUAACGUACAUAAUGGCACUGUCCUUUCACAUAGGAACUAUACUUUUUAAAUUGCCAUUCCAAUUUUUGUUUGUUUUAAAAAUGAUAACAUGAGACUUUAAGGUGGGGGUCAUAAAAAAUAUUACAAUAAUCCCACCUUUUACACCACCCUCAAUGUUUAUUAUCUAGAACUCUGUUUACAAACGAUUUUGUUUUCAUAUAUUAUUUUUUGGUAUUUUCAUUUUUUAUAUUUUUUUUUUAUAUAUUUUUUUACAGAGCUCUAGAUAAUAAAAAUAUCGGAUGUUAAAGGUUAGAGGUAUUAACAAAGUCAUUCUAAUUCAGAAUAUUGCAAAAUUAUAAUGUUGGUUGAUUUUUCUCAUUGUUGAAGUCCAUACAGUAACCUAUUUUACAUCAACAUCAUUUGGUCUCUGUAGAAUAGUAAUGUCUCGCAUCUCUUCAUUUCAUAACAAAUCAAUUUGUAGGUUCUAUAAAGUGGGCCCAUGACGAAGGUAAGGGAAAUUUUGACUGCCAACUGAGAGGAGGAUAUGUUGGACAGAAAUUAAGCCUUGCAACAGGCCAC